GGCCUUGUAGUUGAAUAAACAACAGUAAAUUGCAAAUUUAAAAGUGUGCCCUACCAAGUCCU
rnacentral:tRNA from 1 species